UAUAUAUAAAAUGGCAUCAAGUAAGAAAAGCUAUUUGUGUCAUCUACAACAGAAGAAGACUUUUAUACAUUGCUACGAUGAAGUUUUUAGUAUCCGUGUUCAUUGAUGUUCUUUUACUCUGCUGCGUGAUUGGUGUACGAUCGGAAUGGAAAUGUCCGAAAUGGCCAUACUUCUUUAUAAAUCCUUGUCCCAAUGGUGUAGACCCUUCCUCUGUCUGUAACACGAAUUACGACUGUUUUGCCUAUUGGCAGUUAUGUUGCUGGGACUGGCGUGACUGUAAGAAAAAGUGUACCAUAAGUCUCCCGUCAUCCAACAGCAGGCGUUGAUGUGUUUCACAUAAUUCCUUAAACUACCUGUAAGAGACUAGAUUUCAUAAGAUAUCCGGAGUUUCAGAUAUGAUAUGGCAUAAUGCUUAUACUAGUGUAGUGCUAUAUAAGCCUACUGUGACUGACUUUCAAUGGUGUUUUGUACGUCUUGCUGUUCAAUAAAGCAUUCAUUAUGUGACCGUCAAAA